AGUAUUUUUGAAGUUAAAGCGAAACCCAUAUCUUUAGUCUUAAAGCUAGUUGAAGAUUAGAUUUUCUGGAUGUAGACUUGAUUGAACGAUGUUAUAGGAAGAUGUUUAAGACGUGAAUACUUUGAUGUUAUGGUUGUUUGAGUUCUUGAAAUGUGUUUAUGUAUAUAUAGAGGAGAAUAGAGAUGAUGGAUUAGUAGAAGAGACCAAUAAUUUGGUGAGGUGCCUACCAAAAAGUUAAGGUGGACCGUGGAAAUAAGAAGAAGGAUUUGUAGAUGUGGUGUGCUUCAUAGAGAAUUACGUAUACUAUCACAUGGUUUGGUUCCUCAUACUUAAGAUGAUUGUUUGUUUGUCUUUGCUUGCAGGUUUACAAGAAUUAGUGGUAUUCUUUUACUCACUGUGUUCUUGCUAGGUGUGCAGCAUACAAAGAAAUGUGACCAGUUAUCUACCAUUACGAUAGAUGAGCAACAUGUGCUGGACAAUGGAAUCUGGUUGUUGGAACACACGAUGGCCUAGUUGACUACUACUUCCAAGAAGCUAAGUGUCGGGCUCUAUUUCAUGAGUACCCAGCAAGUAACAUGGGCUCUAAGGAAUUUAAUCACUAACAGGGAUGAAGAUCACUAAGGUUCGGAGAAUGGAGUUGGAGAGAGAAAACAUUUUUUUCUUUUGCGGGGAGUCAUUCUUUCUCUCUUUCAAUAUGCCGAAAAAAUGAAGUCAAUGAGAGUAGUUAAAGAUGGAGAAUAAAUCACUUAAUCAAUUUUCUUUAGAAUUUUCCUUUCUAUACUUCUCAUUAAUUAAUAUCAGUAAUGAAAAAUUAUAU